UAACUGGAGGGGUUCUCCUAUCCUUGC
rnacentral:sRNA from 1 species